CAGAGGUGUUGCUUGUCAGCAACAAACAGAAACACUAAUUUUCACUGAAUUUUGCAACUCAAAUACUUGGAACAACACAGAACCACCUGAAAAUCUUUAGAGGCUGAAACUAAAAUUAAGUCAUACCAGAUGCCUAGGCAGGUUGUGUUUGGAAAUGGAUCACCCCUAAGUUUAUCACUGGUCAAUUGGAGGUUACUCUGACAGAUAACUCGUGUUAUCUGUUUAAGUAGUACUUUCAGCUUUGCAUGAUUUGGCUGUCAUGUAUACAAACCAAUAUAAUAUUGCUUGUUUUUGUUGGAAUACAGGAGAUUCUGAACCCACUAAGAUGUUCGAUAGGACAGCUAAUCUGAAAAAAAAAAUAGAUUAUCAACAUGGUGCAUUCCUGAAUAUCAUCACACAAGACGAUUUGUUAUGUAUCAUCAUAACAGACGGGAGUAACUUUGUGAGCAUUCUGACAAAGCUCUCUGUUCUUGGAGGAUGGAACGGCUGCUCCAGAGUGUUGAUGUGGACCAUGUGGUGGGAGCACCAUGUGACGGACGCGGUGGAGAGACGGCGCUCCAGCGCCUGAUGGAGAUGGUGGAGGGACGGCGACUCCGGCGCUUGACGGAGACGGUGGAGGGACAGAAGGAACAGAGGCUCCGGCAAACGUGAGGAGAUAUGAUUGGGGGACGGACAUGGCAGAAGAGGAAAGCCACAGAGAUGGUGGCCCCGCCGUCGACCGUAACAUCGGGAAGGUGAGCUCGCCACCUAGAGGGCGCCGUCGGGGUUUGCGGGACUUGCGGGACGCCCGCUGGACAGCACAGAUGGGCCGCUUGAACCCGCUCACAUGAUGCGGUUGGCUCAGGGGUUUUAAGUGGGCUGCUUUUGCGGGGCUGGAUCGCGGCUUAGCGGGCUCCUCCAGGCUCCCAUGCCGUGAUAGCGGCCCUAUAGCGUGCUAAUUAAGACUCGUGUAGGCACGUAUAUUUCGCCGGGAGGAGUGCACCGAGGGCCUGGAUGAUGAUUGAUGGGUCGUUGUCCAGUGAACACCCCCUCGAUACUGUAAAUUAGUACUCCGUCCAUCCAAUGUUAAAAUUUGGAUGCAUCUAGACAUGACUUGGUGUAUAGAAGCAUUCAAAUUUAGUCAAAAUUAAGAUAUUUUUUGUUGGACGGAGAAAA